rnacentral:rRNA from 1 species
GUGGGGAAUAUUGGGCAAUGGGCGCAAGCCUGACCCAGCAACGCCGCGUGAAGGAAGAAGGCUUUCGGGUUGUAAACUUCUUUUACCAGGGACGAAACAAAUGACGGUACCUGGUGAAUAAGCCACGGCUAACUACGUGCCAGCAGCCGCGGUAAUACGUAGGUGGCGAGCGUUAUCCGGAUUUAUUGGGUGUAAAGGGCGUGUAGGCGGGACAGCAAGUCAGAUGUGAAAACCAGAGGCUCAACCUCUGGCCUGCAUUUGAAACUGUUGUUCUUGAGUGUCGGAGAGGUAAUCGGAAUUCCGUGUAUAGCGGUGAAAUGCGUAGAUAUACGGAGGAACACCAGUGGCGAAGGCGGAUUACUGGACGAUAACUGACGCUGAGGCGCGAAAGCGUGGGGAGCAAACAGGAUUAGAAACCCGGGUAGUCC